rnacentral:rRNA from 1 species
UACGGAGGGGGCGAGCGUUAUUCGGAAUUAUUGGGCGUAAAGGGCGCGUAGGCGGCGCGAUAAGUCAAAGGUGAAAUCCCUCGGCUCAACUGAGGAACUGCCUUUGAGACUGUCGAGCUCGAGGCCGGGAGGGGGUAGCGGAAUUCCCCAGUGUAGCGGUGAAAUGCGUAGAUAUUGGGAGGAACACCAGUGGCGAAGGCGGCUACCUGGACCGGUUCUGACGCUGAUGCGCGAAAGCGUGGGUAGCAAACAGG